CCUACGGGUGGCUGCAGUGAGGAAUAUUGGUCAAUGGCCGCAGGGCUGAACCAGCCAAGUCGCGUGAGGGAUGACGGUCCUAUGGAUUGUAAACCUCUUUUGUCAGGGAGCAAGGUGCGCCACGUGUGGCGUUUUGCGAGUACCUGAAGAAAAAGCAUCGGCUAACUCCGUGCCAGCAGCCGCGGUAAUACGGAGGAUGCGAGCGUUAUCCGGAUUUAUUGGGUUGAAAGGGUGCGCAGGAGGCAUGUCAAGUCAUCGGGAAAAUUUCGGGGCUAAACCCAGUGGGGCCGUUUAAAAUGGCGGUCUUGAGUGAGCGAGAAGUAUGCGGAAUGCGGGGUGUAGCGGUGAAAUGCAUAGAUAUCACGCAGAACUCCGAUUGCGAAGGCAGCAUACCGGCGCUCAACUGACGCUCAUGCACGAAAGCGUGGGUAUCGAACAGGAUUAGAUACCCUAGUAGUC
rnacentral:rRNA from 1 species